rnacentral:lncRNA from 1 species
UGGUGGUAGCCGGCGCUAAGGUCCUAGCUGCCAGCUAACAGACAUAGCUGCGAAGCUGCCGCCGGUUUAACGUGCGAGGAGGAUAAGCACAGACUUACCUGACUGGCAUUGUCAGUGUCAUCCCAUACUGAGGAAGGAGCCACCAAGCUGGCUGAGUCAGGCAAUGCAGCGGGCACGCCGGUGGAGUGUGCCCCACAGCCCACCUCUGAGAGCCGGGUGCUGCGCACCGAGGGGGCGCCACGAACCAGCGCCUGGCCCAGCGCCGCCCGGCCGGCCACCACGUCCAAGGCAUACACCAUGCCAGCCAGUGACGUGCGGCUGGACGGGACGGGCGAGGUGCCCAACUAUAAUGACAGCUGGUCAGCUGACCUGGCUGCUGCCCUGGAGAAGGUCGACCAGGGCCGGAGCAGCGACGGUGCCUCCUCCGACGCCAAGCCCAAGGGGAGAAAGGGCAAGCGAGGCAAGACCGUGCUGCUUUCCGGAGGUCUCAGCUUUUGAGAAGGAGUUGAGGGCAUGGGGAAGCACAGAUCUCUGCACAUUGAGGGUGUUGGGAAGGCCUGCUCCAGUGCUGUCGGCGGGACGUCGUUUGAGGCGAGCGGAAUGGAAGGUGUCUGAGACACGGGGAACCGGAUUCUUGGGAUUUUUGUACAAUACAAGGUGAAGUGACGCCGAGAUGGCCUGCUGGGCAGGUACGUCAUGUCAUGAGC